rnacentral:rRNA from 1 species
AUGCUUUUCCUAAAGAUUAAGCCAUGCAUGCCUAAGACUAUGAGGAAGCAAUUCUCUCUGAAUCUGCGAACGGCUCCGCAAACCAGUUGUAAACUAGAGCAAGCAAGUCUGGCGGGCUUCGGCCUCCAGACGAUAUGGAUAACCCUGGUAAUUCUGAGGCUAAUACAUGACCGCAAAACCGGGCAGCCCAGCAAUGGAUGCUCGGGGAUGUGCGAUAUGGCUUGACAAUAACCGGGAAAGGACG